CUGUCUCAGACUAAGCCAUGCACGUCUAAGUACAAACUAAAUGAUGGUGAAACUGCAAAUGGCUCAUUACAACGGUUAUGAUGUACCCGGGAGUUCCGAUGGAUAUUUCCAGUAACACUAGAACUAAUACAUGUCCCUGCGUUUAUUAGUUUCGCACAGUCCGUCGCUGAGUCAUGGUAAACAGUUGAUCGACUCGACGUCCCGGAACAGUUUCCGCCCCAUCAGCUUCGAUGGUUGGGUAUUGGCCUACCAUUGCAACAACGGGUAACGAGGAAUUAGGGUUUGAUUUCGGAGAGGGAGCCUGAGAAACGGCUACCACAUCUACGGAUGGCAGCAGGCGCGCAAAUUACCCAAUGCAGACACUGUGAGGUAGUGACGAGAAAUAAUAAAGCGGGACUUCUGUUUCGCUAUUAUAAUGAGGAAUAACCAAAGGUCAUUCCGAUUAGCAACUGAUGGGAAAGUCUGGUGCCAGCAGCCGCGGUAAUACCAGCGUCAGUAGC
rnacentral:rRNA from 1 species